AACGUGGCUCAGCUGGUAGAGCAACGCACUCGUAAUGCGUAGGUCAGCGGUUCAAAUCCGCUCGUU
rnacentral:tRNA from 1 species